CGGGCAAAGCAAACACUGCACCUGUAAAACCAAGAUAACAACCCGUUACUGCACCUCUUGCAUAACAUGAUACCAUGACUAUAACACUACUGCAUAGUAUAGGCUAUAGACCUUUUAAUAAACACUUUGAAUGUACAUUACCUUGUUAGGUGGCAUCAAAUCGAAAUAUUCCCACACUUGGGAACGCUUCCUAGAUGGUUGCUCCAUGACAGAAUAAUCCAGCAAAUCUCAGAAUAUCCAAAAACAAGAUCUGUUUGUAACGUAUAAAACGUGUUGAACAGGGAUGUGAACCGGGGCUUGAGAGCAUCUUAAAUACACUGAAUCGCGCCAGAUGUUUGAAACUCCGCCAAUCAACUCGAAGCAGUCAGCUGACUCGGUCUGAAUGAAGCAGUGAAGUGGUUCACACGUCAUCGGUGACGUCUCAUGACGCAAGCUCCGCCCCACUGCUUCACCAUAGCAACCCUGUAGAGUUUUUGAAGCGUUGUUUGAAGCCUCGGUGUUAGAGGUGACAUCACUACCUCAGCCUAGCCACUGGUUUAUUCAGUCUGAGGACAACCUCGUGUUCCGGCCCAUAAACUGUCUGGAUCACUUCCUCUUCUGGAUUCUGAACCUCGUUCCCAGGCUGAGAAGUGGUACUUCGGUAAAGUUAGAAAGAUAUUCACAGUUUCGGCUUUUCCGGAUCAAUAACUCAUCAGCGGAACAUUGCCUCUAGAAAACCAACACCUCUCUGCAACCACAGCAAGGCAGACAGUGAGCUACAAUCAUCUUUUCUUCAAAACGAGACUUGCAUUGGCCUCUAUGCAGAGAUCGCUGCUCCUCUAAUGCGCAGAGACCGUCUGCAAAUUGCAACUCCAGAAAAUAUAUGAUGGAGAAAUAUUCAAUAAAGUCGCCAAGGAGAGGUGUAUUGUCAUUGAAAUCAUUGUAUGUGAUCUGACGUUUUUCAUUCUACAUUUCUUGGAUUGGAAAUUAAUACAAAAAAAAAAAAGGAAUUUCCCAAAGACACCUAAAUAGCCAAAUAUUCAGUAAAACAUGGUCAAUAACUUCACUUUAGCAUGUUGUAGUGCCAUCAAACUCAUAGCACACAGGGAGAGCAUCAUCUUGAAUCUUUUUAAUAAACAUAACAUUGCCUUUAUAUAUGCAGACAUGCUCUUUUAAUAAAUCUGUAUUACAACCAAAUAAUUAACUUUCCCUUUACUGUUUGCAGUGUGUCAUAACCUGAAAUCACUCAACAUUACAUCUUUGAGUUUUAACAAAUUUUAUUUCCCACACUAUCAAGCAUAAAUAAUUCAGUAUUUGGUUACAGUCAGCAAACGUUACCAAGAGACUCUCUAGUUAUUGCACAACACACAGUACCAAGGGGUGUCAUGUCAAUGCAUUCAGUGUGGAACCAUCGCUCACAGGUUUCACACUGUAUCUACAACA